rnacentral:sRNA from 1 species
GGAACUACUGCUGUCUGCAAACAAGCUAAAGGAAAUUUAAUUGCUAAUUUAAAUUUAAUUUAAAUUGCAUUUAAUUGCUACUGCUAUUGAUUUUAGUGAAUUUUACAUGUCUCAUUAUUAUGGCAGAUGAAAUAGUUUUUGCAAAAUGAAUAAGGAAAGGAAGGAAAGCCUAAAAUUUGUUGUUUGUGACUAUAAGAGGGUAGAAAUGGACGAUUAUUUGGCCAUAGAGUUGUUUAACCAUUACUGUGUCUUUCUGGUUUUUUUAUGUCAUCCUUUUUUUUUGUAGGGCCCAGUAAAUCCUUUAGGGCCACCUGUACCCCAUGGGCCCCAUGGUGUCCCAGGCCCCCAUGGACCUCCUGGGCCUCCAGGGCCUGGAACUCCAAUGGGACCAUACAACCCUGCACCUUAUAAUCCUGGACCACCAGGCCCGGCUCCUCAUGGUCCUCCAGCCCCAUACGCUCCCCAGGGAUGGGGAAAUGCAUAUCCACACUGGCAGCAGCAGGCUCCUCCUGAUCCAGCUAAGGCAGGAACGGAUCCAAAUUCUGCAGCUUGGGCUGCUUAUUAUGCUCACUAUUAUCAACAGCAAGCACAGCCACCACCAGCAGCCCCUGCAGGUGCACCAACUACAACUCAAACUAAUGGACAAGGAGAUCAGCAGAAUCCAGCCCCAGCUGGACAGGUUGAUUAUACCAAGGCUUGGGAAGAGUACUACAAGAAAAUGG